UGUUCCUCCAUUUAUUGUAAGCAGGUUAAUCAAGCAUGAAAGAUAAAACUCUUAUAUUAGCAUAAAAUAAAAAGGUAACUGAUCCAGUUAUGAGAAAUGUGACACAGAUAUUUUACAUUUAGGUUGUAGUAGAAGUGAACCAUUCAUAUUACAGAGAGAUCACACUUCACUUCUAGCAUUGCAGUAUAAGAAAAUAAAUCAAUGUCCAUCAGAAAUCCCGACAUCAACAGUCAACAGUGGUGUCAAGGGUUUGACAUACCGUGGGUAUGGGAUUAGUUUAGGUCAGGGAAAAGAAUAAGCAAUGUGGAGAUAUUCCCAAAAGUAUCCUCUGCAAUGAACAAACUUAUUUUAGUGAGAGAAACCACAGUCAGGAAGAAAGGAGUCAUCAUACUGAGUUUAAAAGGGAUGGAACUACAGCAAAAACUUCCAGGGAGUUUUACAGAGCAUUCUUGACUUAGUUAAUAGAAAUUAAUAAUCUGAAGCAUCCCAGAAUUACAUUUUAUAUGACUAUAUAAAUGUAUACAAAAUAGUGUAAAUCUGAUAGUGUACAUCUGGACAUUCCAUAUCCCUCUGAGUAUGUUCCCUAGUAUCCCAGCACUAGUAUGUGCCGGGAUGAGAACAGGGUUAAUAAAUGCUUUGUUUUACCCUUCUUCCAACAUCUUGCAAAUGAAUGCAAGAUCAAUGGUACUAUUACUGGUCUUUUUUCUGCAUCAAUAUAUUUCUGACAAUGUGUACUACGAGCAUAAGAGGAUGACUUGACCUCUUUAUUGUAGUGGGAUGUGGCAAUUAAUUUUUUAUUGAAAUUUCAAUUAGCUUUUCUGUUCCUAUAAUGUUUUACCUAAAUCCUCUUUUUAAGUUCUAACUGAGGUUACCAGAAAAGAUCAUCUAAGCAUGACUGUGUUAAAAAGUAGAGGUAAAGAAAACAAAUUAUUUCUAUUGUGUUCAAAAUUGAGGUCACUUUAGGUUAACUGAAUCAGAUUCCUUGAAGAGAUGAAGACUUUCCACAUCAUGAAGAAUCAUUCAGAGAAUUCUAAUUGAAAAAAGGAAGACACCAGCCUCUUAUAAAAAGAAUAAGAUACUAAGAUUAGUACAACUGAGCAAGAAAACCUGAAACAGAUUUUACAGACUGUUGCCUUUAUGACCCUUAUAAAAGAAGAAUUACCAAAUGAAAAACAAUGGAGAAACCCCUGCAGGUUACAACUUUACAUUAAGCUGUCUAGCAUCCUGGACCAACUAAAGAACAAAGGAAUUAAGUCUUAUAUUUAGAAUUCUUAUGCAUCUGAUAAUACUUAAAUGAUAGCAGAAGCGGUAAUGAAAAACUUAUGCCAAAAUAAAAAAUGUUGUUCACAGAGAAAAUUUAAACUUCAUUUGGCAGUGACUUCAAUUUCUAAGGUUAAGAUGACUUUUCCUUGAAAAACUGUUACUUUCUUUAUGUAUGACUUCCUGAAAAACAUAGUAGUUAACUGAAAUGUUCUAUUAUUAAUGAAAACUUAAAACACUGUUUUUCCAAUCUUUAGCCUGCAUCAUGCAGAAAAUGUAUUGCAAUGAGCAGCGAAGCUACUUUGAGGAAAUGUACAUAUCUUUAAUAUACGAAAUCUGAAGUUUAUUAUCCUUGUAUUGUAUAAGUGGUAAACCAGAAUUUACACUUAAAAUUAGCCUUACUCAGUACCAAAAGCUAUAUUCAAAAAUAUCACAUUAUUGCAGGGUCCUCUGUGAAAAUUUAUGUCAUUUGCCAAGCUUCUUCUCUGGGAUGUGAAUGCAUUUAGUGAAGAGAAGUUCAUAAAUUACACAGUAGUACCUUCCAUAAUAAAGCAACUCAUUCUUACUGUUCUAGCUAAGACGCCAAUAAACCAAUUUUCAGAAUGAUAAAGCCAAUAUAACUCAUAGGGCAUUUAACUCCAUCCAAGAAAGGAAGAAUAAAUAGAUGGGUACCUGUGCAUGUGCCUUUGUUGCAGAAAAGUGUUUAUCAAUUAUUUCAGUGGUAUUGAGUUCCUUUCAUGAAGUGCAGGGGAAAAUAAAAAAGAGGAGUUAUGGCCUAUUCCAUACUGAAAGGAGGCUUUAAAAAGACAUAACAGGAAGAAAUUAAUGUAAGCUUAGGGAUUCAGUGUCUACCCUCUGAUUGACAAUAUCCCCGGAGAUUGGCUGGAAUUUGAAGUCGAUAAAAAUGAAUGCAGGUCCUCCUGCUGGCCAUGCAGGUGGACACUCCAUACUUCCUGUGUUUCCAGUCAAGGCUAAUAAUGCUGAGCAAGGGAUAAAAUUGCUCCGUGGGUCUUGAAACAAAAAUCUGUACCUCCAGGAAAAAAAGUAUUUUCCUGAGUUCUUGUACGGCCUGUAGGGAUAUUACAGAGAGAGGAAAAAUGUCAACUGUCUCCACUUGUAAUCAAAGAUAGUUGCCAUAGUAAUGACACCUCAUUUUUGUGGUAAUGGAGGUUAGAGCCUGGUGUAGUCCCCUGCUAUCUCUUUUUCAAUGUCUCAUGGAGCUACUCUCUUAAGCUUUGCAGAUACAUACCUGGUAAUUUGAGUCAAUUUUUACUCUUUUUGUUCUUAAUCUUCUAAAAGAAAUUGGCUUAAAAUGCAUUGAUGAUACUGCUGCACAUCCAUACGUGAACAAAUCAAGAGAAUGAAAAAUUUCUCUAAGGAAACAUUGCACACAUGCAUUUUCUCACCUGUCUUUACUUAUCUGAAAGUAAUUAAAAUCUGUGAUUAUCCAAUGACAAUAGACUGAUAAAACAUAAGGACAGUUUUCUCUGUUCCUGUUGUUUUCCCAUAAACGUGUCUUAAAAACUUUACUGUUUAAAACUUGGAUUUAAAGGUAAAGGAAUGCAAAGAAUGUUUGCUUCUGGGACAGUGGAGGAAGGGGUUGCAGAAGUGCCUACAUGGAUAAUUGUUUAACCUAAAAUUAUUCUUGUACUCAGAGUACCUAAGAUUUUUUCUCUAAAAUUUUUAACCAUGUAAUUUCACAGUUUCUGGCUGUUGGUGUUCUAACUGUCUUUGGAAGGUAGAUGUUGAGUUUGUUUCUAUUCUCUGGAUGCUAAUAUUUUUUUUUUCCUCAAGUUUUGUAUUUUCUGAGUAUGCUGGAUUUUAGCAAUCUGUUCUUUAAAAGUCAGAGUUAAACUAUGAUUUCCUUUGGUGCCUUUCAGCUGUUUUCUGUAGUAAACAUUUACCACAGCUGUUUUCUUAAACAAAGGUCUAUGGUGGUUUUGCUGGUAUAGGCUUAGCCAUAUUCUUCAGCUACUCCACUGGAUCUUGGGUACUGUUUUUUAAUUUGCACCUGUAUGCAAGCCAAAUAGGAGAAACUCCAGGCCUUUGUAAAUUACUGGAAUUAUUCAGAUGUGUGUUGUUUUUCCUUUGUUGAAAUUAGGUCAUUUUGCUAUUCUAUCACAUAGCCAGCAUAUCUGGCAAGUGACGCUGCAGAGUAAUUCAGUGUAGUUUUAGCAAACAGAUUGCCCACUGAAGAAUCUCGAGAAUGCUAUGAAAGGAAAGAGUGUCUUCUGCGGUUAUUUUUUUGCAUGGUAUAUGCUAGAAUGAAUAUGUGAUUUAUUUAUUUAGAAUUUGUGGGUAAAUAUGUACUAAAAGCAGUUACUUGUUCCUUUUCACAAAAAGUAAAUCUUCCCAGUUAGCUGGUUGAGAUUUUUACUUCAUAAAGGAAGUUCUCCAAUAGUCAACCAAAAUUACUGGUUAUGUGAAUCUUCUAUAUUUCUCUCACUAUUUAUCUUAUAUUUGGAUGAUCCCAAAUACUUUUGCAUUAUGUUCUCCAACUCUUCUUUCCUGCUGCCAGGAAAGUGUGCAUGAAGAUCUGGAAUGAAUUCUCGAUCUGUUUUUCACUUCAGGUUGUCUUUUUUUACUUUAAGAUCAUAUAAUGAGACAUAUGUGCAAGAACUCUCCGAAAGGCUGGAGUUUUGUCAGAAAUGUUCUCCUGGGUUUGAAACCCAAUUAGGUUUAUGGGUGUAUAUAGUGAGAAGGAGAAAAAAAGAGGGAGAAAUGAAGUUUCUGACAUGUGUUAAGGAUUACCAUUCCUUAUCACCUGAAUAAAACUCAACAGGAGAGAUGAUGGGUUGGUGACAAUUUAUAUUAAAGACACUAUUGGUUGUUAAAGUCACUAAACUCUUAAAAUGUUUAUGGAUUAGACUCAGAGAAUAAAUAUGAGCAGACUUCUGUGUACUGCCAGCACUGUAAUAAAAAGCAGGAGUUUCAUCGGUCAUGCUAUAGUUUUUUAAGAUAGUUACCAUAAGCAGAAAGAGAAAUCAUCAGGAGAGAACACCAGGCUUCUUACUUUAUUAGAUCAUCACAGAUCUGUUUGUUGUGCAUUUGACAUUACCAAAGGUCAAAGUAGAUAUUACAGUAGCAUUAUCUCAUUCAAGUUUUUCCUGUCCUUGAUUACCAGCUACUUUUAAAAUGUUUCAAAGUGCUUUGUGCUGUUACUGUUAGAGAAACUGUACUUGUAUUAAUCUCUAUUUUCCAAGAAAGCAGAAAACAGAGGAACAGGUCAUUAUCAUGUGCCUGCUUUUAAGGAGAGGCAUACUGUAAUUUCUAAUUAAAAUAUCUAUGUUAGAAAAAAAGGAUAUGAGAUUUUUAAGCAAUCAAAAUAGCUAUAUACCCCAAAAACCUGAAAAAACCACAACCUCAGCUAGAACAUUUUUCCUUUUUAUAUCAAACAGAGUGUUACAAAUAUUUCAAAUCCAACCAGUUGUACAUCAGGCUGAAAAAAAUAUCAACUUCACUGCAGUUUGCAUCCCCCUUUCUUAAAAUUGUAUGCAAGGAAUAUGUCAUUGUUGUACUUUUAUGUACUGCUCUAGAAGCAUGAGUUUCUGUGUCUGUACAAAAUAGACCAACAUAAGCCUCCUGUUCUUAAAAUAUCCUGACACUUGGCUUGCUUAAAGAAGAGAUGACACAUGGUGUUAUCUGUUUAGUGAGUUUUUGUCUAUUGCUCUAUAAUUUAUAAGCUUUGUGGUUGACAUAUUUUCAACUAUCAUGCAGGAUUUACAGGUACUUAUAUUCAUGAGUAGGUCAUCAUGCACAAAAGAAAAUAUCUCUUUCAUCACGUGCAUGUUUUAUUACUGUCAGGAUAAGUUGAUCUUGUUGUUUAUCCACAGGCCAUUUUAUUUUGCUGUGAAAAUUGCUUUUGCACACAAAGGUGAGGACAACCUUUAUUUAAAUAAGUACCAGAGUCAAAACAUCUCAGUUGCAUGCCCCCAUUUUAUUAAGACAAAUGUCCUAUUCACUGUAAUACAAACAUUAUCCAUUAUAGUGUCUUUCUGUUUCCUGUCCUGGAGAGAUGAAGGUUAUUGUUUAUAAAGUAACAGACAAAAUACUUCUAUGUUUUCACCAUAUUGAAAAAGUGCAACUAUUACUGUAUCCUUCAAGACGUGAAUUCCCUCUCUCAUACUAUUUAGUUUGUACAAAUGCCUCUUUUUCCUUAGAGAUGUUUGAAUCGAACCACUUGCCCAUUAUGUUCUAUGUGGAUUUGGUUUAGGAUUACCAAAAUGUUGGGAAAAGUUUAGCCAUCCAAAAGAAGAAUUAUUUGGGGAAUUCUUCCAGAGAAAAAGAGUAUAAUGUUGCUGAUGGAUCCUGCUUUUUCUACGUGCAGCAGUGAAUGGCACCAUAACUCUCAGAACCAGAGACUGUGGAAGAUAUGGAAGGCAAGACUUCAAGCUUCUCCAGGCUUUGACUUCUGUCUGCCUGGUUGAGGACAGACUCCCUUCUUCAGAAUUGACAAGAAAUUCCAUCCUAUCCUAGCCAAUGCCCUGCAAUAAUUUCAUGCUUGAUUACCUUCCAGAAAGUGUUCUGAUAUUACUGCCAGGAGCAGUCUGAAGAGUAGCAAGACUACAGAGCCCUGGGACUCUGCUUCCAGUGGACCCCUACGUGCAUGGGAAUAAGCAGUGCUUGGGAACGUGCCACCAACAUGACCAGCUUCUUCUGUAGUAUCCCCAAAGGGAUCUUUUGCACCUGCUUAGGCACUCAGCAGCAAACUGAUGCUUUUCAUCCUGUCCUUUGUGCUCAGCAGUCUGAGCAACAUCAUUGCCUUCAUCUCCUAAACUUAUGGCCUUGCUGCCAUCAACUCUGCUGAUGGCUGGUUGAAAGCCUUCAGCACAUUUGCUUCCCACCUGACCACAGUCAGCCUGUUCUUCAGGACCAUUGUCUUUCUUCUGGCUCCCAUUUCUCAGUGAAGACAAAGUCCCCAGUGUGAUCUAUACCCUGGCGAUCCUAAUGCUGAACCCUUUGAUCUACAGCCUGAGAAACAUGAAGUAAAGGCUGUGCUCGGGAGGCUGACACACAAAAAUAACACCAGGAUAGAGCAAGACCUAGACACAAGACAGAGUUUGACUGAAGGCCAGCUCCUCACAGCUGUAUGAGCUAUUGCUUUACUCUGCCUUUGUGUUCUGCUUGCAGGAAAUUUAAUGGUGUUUUUCACUUUAAAUGGUAUGCCAGCCUCUCUAAAGGAGCAGCAUGGCACCACCUUUAAUCUUUCUCCUAGGGUGUGAGCUCAUGACUCUGCCUUUGAUAGCCAUCUCACUUCACAUGUCAACUCCUUAACUAGUACUCUCUACUUUAGGAUGAGUGACUUUUGGGGACACUUUAGAUAUUAACAUGCAGGUGAGACAAAUCCCUUUUGUUUUGCUCAAGAGCAGAGUUUUUUCUGCGUGCAUUACAGUGGGAUAGUUUUUUCUUCAAUAGUUGUUGCACUUAAUCUGGGUCAUUUUAUAUGACACUGGGAUGUAAUUAACUUUCCUCUUGAGGAAAAAAAGGGGGAAAAAAAGAAAAUAGAGGAGUAAUUGGUAAUGCUUUGUCUGGUUAUGAGAUAUCUCUGAGGACUUAUGGAACACCAGGGAUAGACUUAAAAAGCAGAAAUUGUCUAUUAUAGAUCUUUAAGAUGACAUAAACUGCUGGGCAAACUGCAGUGUGCCUUGCUUUCAUACAAACUGGAUAAAUUCCAGUAUUCUUACACCUGUAGGAUGACUCUUGUGUUGGAAUAAUACUGCAAACUAACAUAAACCAUGAAAUUAAUUUCCAGAGUCUGACUUUACCCAACACUCCCAUCCAUAUACAUACCUCCUGCAGUAAUUCUCCACAACAGCUUCAUACCAAUCUCCCAAGUCUUCAUGUACUCGAUAUCCCAGCCCACCAUAUCACACCAUAAUUUGAAUUGUUCCAACUUGGGCUCAUUUUCAAUACUUUUUUUCUGCCUCCAGUCCUGCUUCCUGGCCAGAUUGGCCUGAAGUUGGAUUGAGUAAAUGAUAAAUUACCAAGAGUCCUUUGCAAAACAAACAAGUCUACCCUCAGAAAAAGAAAACAAGAGAGAGCAAUUAGGAUUGACAUGUCUUUCUGGACUACAGUGACUCCUGGUGUAAAUAUCUCUUGAAUAGUAAUAGAAGUAGCUAACAUGCUAUCUAUAUCUCUCAACUCUGCCUAGAGUCACACUGUAGCCUACAGUGUGCCUGCUAGUGUCCCAGUUUGAGUUUUUUGUGUCAGCAAGAAAGCUCCCACUGAAUUUACUGAUGUGGAAAUAGGUCUGUAGCCCUUUAGGGACUAGAGGGACAAACACUGUCUAACCAAUUCCAUUUCAGAGGUUGAUAUGUGCUCCCACUCAGAUAAGAGAUGUGCUAGUUGGAGAUGUGUGUAACGUGCUGGACAAUUUAUUUUGUACUGUUAUGUACUAAGUUUCUGUGAACUGCAAAUCUAAAUCAAUUUCCUUUGAUCACCUUUCCAAAAUGCCUUGUGGGAGAAAUAAAUACCUAUGUGUUAAAAUUGCUACCCUGUGUGUAUAUUUCAUAUAUAGUAUUCUGAAAACUGUGGACUUGUCCUGCUCUGUUGUGCACUGGUGUGGCCUCACCUUGAAUCUUGUGUACAGUUUUGGGGACCACAACAUAAGAAAGAUAUUUUGCUAUGAGAGAGCAUCCAAAGGAGGGCAACCAAGAUGGUGCAGGGCCUUGAGGGGAAGCCAUAUGAGGAGUGACUGAGGUUACUUGGUCUGUUCAUCCUGAAGAGGAGACUGAGGGGAGACCUCAUUGUAGUCUACAACUUCCUCGUGAGGGGAAGAGGAGGUGCAGGCACUGAUCUCUUCUCUGUGGUGACCACUGACAGGGAAUGGCAUGAAGCUAUGUCACAGGAGGUUUAGGCUGGAUAUUAGAAAGAGGUUCUUCACCUAGAGGGUGGUUGACCACUGGAACAGGCUCCCCAGUGAAGUGGUCACAGCUGCAAACCUGAUAGAGUCCAGGAAGUGUUUGGACAAUACUCUUAGGCACAUGGUGUGACUCUUACUGAUGACCUUGUGUGAGGCCAGAAGUUACACUCAGUGAUCAUGAUCCUCGUGGGUCCCUUCCAACUCAGCAUUGUCUGUUGGGACGUUGAGUAUUCAUUUUGUGAAGGAAAGAAAUAACACUUUUUUUGUUAGUCCUUGGGAGACCUAGUUCCUGGAAUAGUCACACUUCUCUGUAACCGCAUGUAACUCAUCUCUAAAGAGUUCUGUGUACCUGAUAUUUAUCCACACAUAUUCAGUCAAAUACUUCGCUUACAUUGUCUCAUUAUGUUUGAAAGAAUUAAUCCCCCACUCUCCCUGUGCUCUCCAUAAUUGUUGUCUUCUCCUCUCUAUAUAAAUCUCAAAAUGGAUGUGAGUUAUCAGAGCAAAUGAUAUUUUGCAUUCAGUAUCAUAUUGCUAAUCCUAAAUACCAUUAGAGUUUGAGAUAGAAGUGAUUGCCUGUAUGAAUUGCUCUUUAGUAGGAUAACUUGCAAUAAUUUGACUAUAUCAGAACUGAAGUUUCUUUUCUGUUGAGAGAAUUGAAAAUCUCUGAAAAAAUUUAUGCCUAAUUUUAUAGUUGUAGAGUGAAUCUGAUCUUACUUUAUUUCUGGAAACAUUCAGAUUUGCAUUAAGAUGACCUAUCAGUAUAUGUAGAUUUAUAGUAUAAAGAUUACCUACUCUUAUGGUCUCAUAUAUUUUUACUCCAAGGUCUUAUAUGAAAUGUGUGUGGAAGUAAAGGUACUUUUGUUUAUGCUCUUAUUUGUUCCAAACUAUCAUUAAAAGGUUCAACUAAUGUGCUUUCUGUAUUGCUGUGUGGGAUUGUACAUGUUUAAUAAUCAAAAUUAUUCUGAAAUCCUACCUGAUAUAUAACAAUAUCAAUGAAGCUUGGUCUGUUAAACCUUAAUAGUUUUUGUUCACCUUCAGUAGUUAAUUUUUCAGAGCAGGCUCUCUGAUACAAGCUCUCACUAAAGAAGAAGGCUGCCUGAUCUACAAACAGAUUUCUGAUUCUUUCCUCAGUCAGGAUAUGCUAAUGCUUAUCCUGGCUGGAUGGCUACAGCCAUCUCCUUUUUAAUUUCUCCAAGCCCACUUUUCUAAAAUUUAGGAACAUUCCCAGUUUUAAAGAAAAGUAAAUACUUAUUCUAGGAGAGUUGAGUGCUUUCUUGGUUAAAUCUUUUCUCUCAUGGAUUUUCUUUGCUAUGCUGAGUAAAUCCCUUAAAUUAGUGCCCAAGGCAAGGGAGAAAAACAAGUGUUGUGUUUCUUUCCUCCUUGUGUUGGGCCGUGUGGUGGGGAUGUUGGAAAGCUUUUGCACUCAAAGGUGCACAAAGAAAAAACCUGCCUUUUUUCCUGAUGUUCCAGUCCCCAGUCUCACUGUUUCUUGUCUCAAAUAGAAAAUACAGGUAAUAGAGCCACUCCUCUACUAAAUAUUAUCAUUUUGAUAGUGAUAACACAAAACAAUGCAUACUUGAUAAGAAAACAAAUAAUUCAGGAUUCUUAGAAGACCUUAUUACAGUGUGGGAGGAACAUGAUGAAUGCGUGAGCAAUUUAUAUUGUGUGCUGUAGUUUUAUAAACUUUGUUUUUAUAUAGUUUUAUAGAUACUAUAAGUUCCAAGAUGGCUGUGGGUCUCUUUGCUAGAACAAAAGAAAAUCAGUGCCAAGAAGAAGGUGGAGUUUGAUAAAGUAAAUAGUUGUCUUGUUAGCUGUUAAUAACCAAUUAUAAAUGUAUUUGUAAUGUAUGUUUACAUCUGGACAGUAACUUGUAACCAAUUAUGUGCUUCUUGUCACGAGACUCUGUAUAGGGAUACUAUAAAAAGUCUGAACUCUACUAAUAAACCAGACAUAUUGUUAGAUCUCAUAAGUCAUGUACUUAUGUCUCGGAACCCCUUCACCAACAGCUACAGUUCUGAAAAUAGAGUAUAAGGUAUCAGAUAUUUCUUUUAACAAAUAAGCAGAAGAAAUACUUGCUAAAGUGUAUUUCUUAUGGAGGAAAACAACUGGUGUUCAUACAAGAACAAUACAGAAACAUAUCAAGUGCAUAUUUUGAAAUGCCAAUAUGUCUUGAUGUCUAGGAACUUCACUUUUUAAAGUAUUUAACUUUAUGUCUGUAAUUUACCCUCCAUGGCAAAUUACUUUGACUGUACUUUCAAUUUCUAUUGCAAUGAUAAGAAAAGAGAUUUAUAAUAAAGAAGUCAAUAUCAGUUUUUUCUUGCCAACUGUUGCAGUGCAUACAAAAUGAUCCGGGGAAAGAGGGAAUUGCAUCUUAUUCCUACCAAUUUUGAGGGACAAUACAGUAAACAUACAUAGGGGAAAGUAGACAAUCCCUUAGUCUUAGAGAUCUUGCAUACUUCUACCUCAAACUGUUUCCAGUCACUGUCUUCAUAAAGUGGAAUUUGUUUGAUUCUGUUAGAAUAGAAAGACUGAAAGUCAUAGAAAGGAACACAGCCUAUAUCGGUACUAAUCAGUAUUCAGAGGAGGGAAAUGGACUGUGAAAAGGAGAAAGAAAAUCAACCUGAAGCCAUAUUGUUGAUGGGAGGCCACCUUGACUCUCUGACAAGUAAAAAGGAAUCUUUGUGUGAUGUAAAAUCUCUUGAGAGUAUUUCUUCUGAAGCAGUGAAUUUGAGAAGAACGAGGAGACACCAGUCCAAAGAUCAAAUUGAAAAUGAAUUAUUCGUCUCCCUGCUUGUUAAAAUCUUAGUAUCAAUCACAGGUACGUAAUCUUUAGUUCUUGACUGGUUUGAUGAACUGUGAGGAAGCAAACCCUCUAACUCAUUUUUUGAAUUCUUUUGGUGGUUUUUUGACCAGGGGAAGAGAUGAGAAGGAAACACAAACAUAUUACAGGAUUUCUAAAUUUAUUUGAAGAUGGGUAAUACACUUUGCUCUUCAGCCCAUGUGGCACAAACCAAUGCCUUUCUCUAUUGAAGUGGAGGCUGAGGAAAUGUUGGGUGAAGGAGAGGCACCUAGAAAUAUGCAAACUCUAUCAUCUUAGAUUGUGUUAUGUUAUAAAAGACUUAGGAUCAAACUUAGACUUUAUUAGAUCUGAAAUUGAUCUCAGUGUCCUAAGCCAUUCCCUUGACAUUACAGAUAGUGGGUUUGAAACUUGCAACACCAAAGGAGUGGUCUAGGAGAUAGAAAAUUAUACAGUUUGCAAAACUAAGUGCACAGCAGUGAAUUCAGAAUCUAUCAACCUUCUUCUCACUAACCUUCUUUGAAUUUGACAGUCAACAUUAGUUUUCUUACCUCUGAUGGAAAGUGAUAGAUGUCUGUACAGAUAAAUAGACUACAUAUAGAUAUCUAAUAUGGAUACAUAGAUAUAAAUGUAUAUUUCAGGCUAAAACCCUACAGAUAGUUUUGAAAGUACAUGUUAGUACUUAAGGCUAAUAUUGGAUGAAAGUCAAGUCUUCCUCUACCUGAUAGCAGUUUGGGGUAUCCCUGAAUUUUGCUUCAUUGUAACAUCCCCACAGAGAAGUGCUGCUGCUGCAGAGUGAAUGCACAGGCAUGCAUAUAUCUUUCUAGCAUAUUUUACAAUGGUUUUGAUACAUCAGUUCUGUAGAAAUUUGAACUCUGGUAAUAAAACUGUAAUUCCUUCAAAUAAAAUAUUUAUUGACUCUUCCUGUGGUUCCUUCAUCUAUCCUUUUUUAGUUGUCUGAUUAUUUCUGUUUUAAAGACCAGCUUAGUAAUACAUACUCGUAAAGAAGAAUUAAUAGGAUAUAAG